GGUGAGAGCCCCGUCGUGCCC
rnacentral:siRNA from 1 species